AGCGAACGCUGGCGGCAGGCUUAACACAUGCAAGUCGAGCGGGCACUUUCGGGUGUCAGCGGCGGACGGGUGAGUAACGCGUGGGAACGUGCCCUCUGGUUCGGAAUAACUCAGGGAAACUUGAGCUAAUACCGGAUACGCCCUUUUGGGGAAAGGCUUGCUGCCGGAGGAUCGGCCCGCGUCUGAUUAGCUAGUUGGUGAGGUAACGGCUCACCAAGGCGACGAUCAGUAGCUGGUCUGAGAGGAUGAUCAGCCACACUGGGACUGAGACACGGCCCAGACCCCUACGGGGGGCAGCAGGGGGGAAUAGUGGAAAAGGGGCGAAAGCCUGACCCCGCCAUGCCCGGGGAGGGUUGAAGGCCUUAGGGUUGAAAAGCUCUUUUAGCCGGGAGGAUAAGGAGGGUACCGGAGGAAUAAGCCCCGGCUAACUUCGU
rnacentral:rRNA from 1 species